rnacentral:piRNA from 1 species
UGCCCAGGUGAACGCCAAGCAAGGUCCUAAA